UACGAAGGGGGCUAGCGUUGUUCGGAAUUACUGGGCGUAAAGGGCGCGUAGGCGGCUUUAUAAGUCGGGGGUGAAAGCCUGUGGCUCAACCACAGAAUUGCCUUCGAUACUGUAGAGCUUGAGUCCGGAAGAGGUAAGUGGAACUGCGAGUGUAGAGGUGAAAUUCGUAGAUAUUCGCAAGAACACCAGUGGCGAAGGCGGCUUACUGGUCCGGUUCUGACGCUGAGGCGCGAAAGCGUGGGGAGCAAACAGG
rnacentral:rRNA from 1 species